AGAUUUGCGCAGUGGCAGUAUCGUAGCCAAUGAGGUUUGUCCGAGGCGCGAUUAUUGCUAAUUGAAAACUUUUCCCAAAUUGAUACAUCUUAGUUAUGUUUUUACUAUACUGAUGGCAGAAUAUAUACUGAAAUAUUUUAUUAAAC
rfam:Fukomys damarensis contig156950, whole genome shotgun sequence.